rnacentral:rRNA from 1 species
GAGUUUGAUCUUGGCUCAGGAUGAACGCUGGCGGCGUGCUUAACACAUGCAAGUCGAACGAAGCGCCUUAUUUGAUUUUCUUCGGAACUGAAGAUUUGGUGACUGAGUGGCGGACGGGUGAGUAACGCGUGGGUAACCUGCCCUGUACAGGGGGAUAACAAUCAGAAAUGACUGCUAAUACCGCAUAAGACCACAGCACCGCAUGGUGCAGGGGUAAAAACUCCGGUGGUACAGGAUGGACCCGCGUCUGAUUAGCUGGUUGGUGAGGUAGCGGCUCACCAAGGCGACGAUCAGUAGCCGGCUUGAGAGAGUGAACGGCCACAUUGGGACUGAGACACGGCCCAAACUCCUACGGGAGGCAGCAGUGGGGAAUAUUGCACAAUGGGGGAAACCCUGAUGCAGCAACGCCGCGUGAGUGAAGAAGUAUUUCGGUAUGUAAAGCUCUAUCAGCAGGGAAGAAAGUGACGGUACCUGACUAAG